rnacentral:rRNA from 1 species
UGGCUCAGAACGAACGCUGGCGGCAGGCCUAACACAUGCAAGUCGAGCGAACCCUUCGGGGUUAGCGGCGGACGGGUUAGUAACGCGUGGGAAUAUACCCUUUGGUACGGAAUAGCCUCGGGAAACUGAGAGUAAUACCGUAUGUGCCCUUCGGGGGAAAGAUUUAUCGCCAAAGGAUUAGCCCGCGUUGGAUUAGAUAGUUGGUGGGGUAAUGGCCUACCAAGUCUACGAUCCAUAGCUGGUUUGAGAGGAUGAUCAGCAACACUGGGACUGAGACACGGCCCAGACUCCUACGGGAGGCAGCAGUGGGGAAUCUUAGACAAUGGGCGCAAGCCUGAUCUAGCCAUGCCGCGUGGACGAUGAAGGCCUUAGGGUUGUAAAGUCCUUUCAGAUGGGAAGAUAAUGACGGUACCAUCAGAAGAAGCCCCGGCUAACUCCGUG